UCGCCUUUCUCUGCGCUCCCCUCCCCCAGCCACCGCACACACGCGCGCGCGCGCACACACACACACACUCACACACACUCACACACACAAACAGAGCGAGGGGGGGAGGGUGAGAAAGAGAGAGAGAGAGAGGGAGAGAGAGACUCCCGGCUCCCUCCCUCCCUCCCUCGCACACAGCGACUGGAGACGGACCGGGAGCAACGCGCUGGGAAGAGCAGAGACCACCGACAACAGCCCCGCGCUCUCCCACACACGCUCACACUCGGCGCUUUCCUCUCCACCCCCACCUCCUCCUCCUUCCACCCCCUCCACUAACACCAUCUCCUCCUCCUCCUCCUCCUCUCUGCAACAAGAAAAAAAAAAGCCAUUUACAGGGGGUGAAGUGCAACUAAUUAAAGGCAGACUGGCAGCGUCUGCAAAUUCUAAGGCUCCCCAAAUAAAAAGAGACUGUUGUAACAGUUGGAGGAUAAUGCAAAGGAAGACGCUGCCUGGGAAUUCACCGUCUGUGGACAUGCGCCCCAGAGAGGACUAAAGCAGCCCUCACCUUGCUCUCCCCACCCGGAUUCCCCUUUCCUGCCCGGCCCAGCCGGUACCCCGACCCCACCAUCACCCGCUUCCCUCCCCCCCACCUCACCCCCUUUCCCACCCAGGUGUCGGACCAGGCGGUCCCCACUUCCACCCUGCACC
rnacentral:lncRNA from 1 species